rnacentral:ncRNA from 1 species
UAUAUUAUAUAAGGGUUAAUGUGUUAAUAAUCACCUAACCUAGACCUUGAAUCUACACCCCCUAACCUUCUAAAUCAUCGACCCAUAACCCAUAACCCUUCUAAAGACGCAAUUUGAUUUAUUCCCAUUGCUCUACAUGUCAAAGUGAAGAAAUUCAGUGUGGGUAACCGACAUGAGUAACUAUGAAUAUCUUAAGGUAUCUAGAUUCUUUUUUAUCUAAUUAGUGACGCACAUGAAUGGAUCAUUAACGAGAUUCCCUACAGUCCCUAGCUACUAUAUUCUAGAGAAACCACAUCCAAGGGAAUGGGCUUGGCAGAAUUAGCGGGGAAAUAAGACCCUGUUGAGCUUGACUAUAGUCCUAACCCAUUCAUAGUUUGGGAAAAUUAAGGCAUAUUUUGAGAAAAUUAGACCAUAACAUUUGUCUUUGGGAGUCAAAUUGAUGAUGGAAACAAGUGGGUGUGUGAGUCAAAUUUGAGUUCAGAAACCCUCCCAUAUCAUUAAGGCAUGCAAAUAGUCUAUCUACGAUCAUGAUGGUAUAAAAAUGAAUGAGAUUCUCUUGGUUUCAAGAAUAAUUUAUCCUCUACUGAACAAGGCCAACCAUUUGAAGGUGGAAGCUCAUAUGGCCCCUUCCCUCCCCCUCACAUCACUCUCAAUUCCCCAAUUCCCAAUCUAUAAAAUAGAAAAUAAUCGAAAGCAACCUAGUAAGAUUC